rnacentral:rRNA from 1 species
UACGAGGGGUGCAAGCGUUGCUCGGAAUUAUUGGGCGUAAAGGGUAGGUAGGUGGUCUCAUUUGUCUGGGGUGAAAGCCUUGAGCUUAACUCAAGAAGUGCCCUAGAAACGGUGAGACUGGAGUCCUGGAGAGGGUCGUGGAAUUCCCGGUGUAGCGGUGAAAUGCGUAGAGAUCGGGAGGAACACCAGCGGCGAAAGCACUCUGCUGGGCCGACACUGACACUGAGAGACGAAAGCUAGGGGAGCGAACAGG